rnacentral:rRNA from 1 species
UACGUAGGGUGCAGGCGUUAAUCGGAAUUACUGGGCGUAAAGCGUGCGCAGGCGGUUCGUUAAGUCAGAUGUGAAAGCCCCGGGCUCAACCUGGGAAUUGCAUUCGAGACUGCGUAGCUAGGGUGCGGAAGAGGGAAGCGGAAUUUCCGGUGUAGCGGUGAAAUGCGUAGAUAUCGGAAGGAACACCAGUGGCGAAAGCGGCUUCCUGGUCCAGCACCGACGUUCAGGCACGAAAGCGUGGGGAGCAAACAGG